GUGAGGAAUAUUGCGCAAUGGAGGCAACUCUGACGCAGCCAUGCCGCGUGCAGGAAGAAGGUGCUACGCGUUGUAAACUGCUUUUAACCGGGAAGAAACCCCAGGACGUGUCCUGGGUUGACGGUACCGGAGGAAUAAGCACCGGCUAACUUCGUGCCAGCAGCCGCGGUAAUACGAAGGGUGCAAGCGUUAUCCGGAUUCAUUGGGUUUAAAGGGUGCGUAGGCGGAGCGUUAAGUCAGUGGUGAAAUCCUGCAGCUUAACUGUAGACUUGCCAUUGAUACUGGCGCUCUUGAGUGCGCUUGAAGUGGGCGGAAUGUGCCGUGUAGCGGUGAAAUGCUUAGAUAUGGCACAGAACACCAAUUGCGAAGGCAGCUCACUAAGGCGAUACUGACGCUGAGGCACGAAAGCGUGGGGAUCGAACAGGAUUAGAAACCCUUGUAGUCC
rnacentral:rRNA from 1 species